GACGAACGCUGGCGGCGUGCUUAACACAUGCAAGUCGAACGGAAAGGCCCUGCUUUUGUGGGGUGCUCGAGUGGCGAACGGGUGAGUAACACGUGAGUAACCUGCCCUUGACUUUGGGAUAACUUCAGGAAACUGGGGCUAAUACCGGAUAGGAGCUCCUGCUGCAUGGUGGGGGUUGGAAAGUUUCGGCGGUUGGGGAUGGACUCGCGGCUUAUCAGCUUGUUGGUGGGGUAGUGGCUUACCAAGGCUUUGACGGGUAGCCGGCCUGAGAGGGUGACCGGCCACAUUGGGACUGAGAUACGGCCCAGACUCCUACGGGAGGCAGCAGUGGGGAAUAUUGCACAAUGGGCGGAAGCCUGAUGCAGCAACGCCGCGUGCGGGAUGACGGCCUUCGGGUUGUAAACCGCUUUCGCCUGUGACGAAGCGUGAGUGACGGUAAUGGGUAAAGAAGCACCGGCUAACUACGUGCCAGCAGCCGCGGUGAUACGUAGGGUGCGAGCGUUGUCCGGAUUUAUUGGGCGUAAAGGGCUCGUAGGUGGUUGAUCGCGUCGGAAGUGUAAUCUUGGGGCAUAACCCUGAGCGUGCUUUCGAUACGGGUUGACUUGAGGAAGGUAGGGGAGAAUGGAAUUCCUGGUGGAGCGGUGGAAUGCGCAGAUAUCAGGGGGAACACCAGUGGCGAAGGCGGUUCUCUGGGCCUUUCCUGACGCUGAGGAGCGAAAGCGUGGGGAGCGAACAGGCUUAGAUACCCUGGUAGUCCACGCUGUAAACGGUGGGUACUAGGUGUGGGGUCCAUUCCACGGGUUCCGUGCCGUAGCUAACGCUUUAAGUACCCCGCCUGGGGAGUACGGCCGCAAGGCUAAAACUCAAAGGAAUUGACGGGGCCCCGCACAAGCGGCGGAGCAUGCGGAUUAAUUCGAUGCAACGCGUAGAACCUUACCUGGGUUUGACAUGGAUCGGGAGUGCUCAGAGAUGGGUGUGCCUCUUUUGGGGUCGGUUCACAGGUGGUGCAUGGCUGUCGUCAGCUCGUGUCGUGAGAUGUUGGGUUAAGUCCCGCAACGAGCGCAACCCUUGUUCACUGUUGCCAGCACGUUAUGGUGGGGACUCAGUGGAGACCGCCGGGGUCAACUCGGAGGAAGGUGGGGAUGACGUCAAGUCAUCAUGCCCCUUAUGUCCAGGGCUUCACGCAUGCUACAAUGGCUGGUACAGAGAGUGGCGAGCCUGUGAGGGUGAGCGAAUCUCGGAAAGCCGGUCUCAGUUCGGAUUGGGGUCUGCAACUCGACCUCAUGAAGUCGGAGUCGCUAGUAAUCGCAGAUCAGCAACGCUGCGGUGAAUACGUUCCCGGG
rnacentral:rRNA from 1 species